rnacentral:sRNA from 1 species
UCCUAGCCCCGAUUGCAAUGAAAGUCCUUUUUUGAAAAAAAAAGAUUGUAAUGAAAAGCGGGAUAAAGC